AUGGUACCGCCAAGCCAAAGCCACAUGUGCUCGUCGUGCCUUACCCGGCGCAAGGCCACCUGCUACCGCUCCUUGACCUGGUGGUGCUGCUCGCCGGACGGGGGCUCGCGCUCACCGUCGUCGUCACGCCAGGCAACGUCCGGUUCCUCGCCGCAUUGCCGCCGUCCGUGGCCACCGUUGUGCUGCCGUUCCCGUCCUCGCCUUUGCUCCCGGCCGGGUGCAGCGAGAACACCAAGGACCUCCCGGCGGACCUCUUCCGGCCGUUCAUGGCGUCCGUGGUGGGCCUCUCGGCGCCGCUGCUCGCCUGGUGCAAGGCCCAGCCCCGUCCCGUCACGUCUAUUGUCUCCGAUCUGUUCAUGGGCUGGACGCUUCCGCUGGCCGACGAGCUCGGCGUGCCGCACGUGGCCUUCUCGCCCACCAGCGUCCACUACCUCGCAUUCACUCGCUUCCUUUGGCGCCGCAUGCCGACGGGGCACGACGGCGACGGCGAGAGGGUGGUCACCUUCCAGGAGCUGCCCGGCUCGCCUAGCAUCCCGUGGCGCCGCCUGUCGGGGCUGUUCCGGAUGCAUGUGGAGCGUAGAAAGCUCCUGCUUUGUGGUCAACUCGUUCGCCGCACUCGAGGCCGGCUGCUUUAGGGAUGCGCUGGCGGCGAAGCGCGUGUUCAUGGUGGGCCCGCUGUCGGAAGCCGCCGGCGUGCGCGGCGGCGGCAGCGAACCCGCGGAGGUGUGCGCGUGGCUGGACGGGUUCUACGACGGCUCCGUCGUAUACAUCUGCUUCGGGUCGCAGGAGGCGCUGUCGCCGGCGCAGGCGGCGUGCGUGGCCGAAGCUCUGAGGCUGAGCCCGACCGCCGCGUUCGUCUGGGUGGCGAGGGGCAGCACCGUCGUGCCGGAGGGGUUCGAGGCGGCCACGGCAUCGCGCGGGAGGGUGGUCCGGGGCUGGGCGCCGCAGCUGGACAUCCUGCGCCACCGCGCUGUGGGGUGGACCCUCACGCACUGCGGCUCGAACUCGGUGAUGGAGUCGGUCGCCGCCGGCGUGGCGUUGCUCACGUGGCCGAUGGCCGCUGACCAGUUCACGAAAGCGUGGCUGCUCGCUGAGGCUGGCGCGGCCGUGCCGGUGGCGGAGGGUGCGGAUGCCGUGCCCGACGCCGAGAAGAUGGCGAGCGCCAUCUCCAAGGCUGUCGCGUCGGAAGAGGGGGAGUCCACCAGGAAGCGUGCGGUGGAGCUCGGCCGGAAUGUGGCCGCCGCGGUGACGGCGGGCGGAACGUCGUGCAGCGACCUGCAAGAGUUGGUGCGUGCGCUCGGUAACGUCGAUGGACUGGCUACUUAA
rnacentral:rRNA from 1 species